GCCACUUUUGCCAAAUGAGUUCAUAUUUGGCACAUUGGUGCACCUUAGUAAUGUAAUUAACCACACAAAAUUUUUUUUGGAAAUUUUGAACUGAUCUUGAUUUUUUUGAGGCGCCAUUUUUUAACAGCUGAAAUUGCUCGAAAACAGCAAAAAUAAGCCUUUUUUGGCAUAUUUCGCUGGUUUAAAUAAAAAAACAUGGCAACAUUUAUAAAUUUUUUAUAGUUGUUCCUAGUAAUACAUCACUUUAAGUGUUAGAAUGCAUAGAAAUAACAAUGCUGUCUAUAAAGUGUAUGUAUAAUCUAACUGUUUCAAUAUGUCUCAUUUAGCCUCUCGUCCAAAAUGGCUGAUUUUGGUCAUCUUUCAGAGCCAAAAUACUCCAAGACCCGUUUAUUAUUGUAAAACAACAUAUCUACUUGCAUAGUAUAACCAUAUAUACCCAAUCAAAAAAAAUAUUAAGCUCGGCAAAUAAUGUUGGUGUCUAGUAUAUGCCACAACAAAAUGGGGUAGCCUGCAUAUUCAAAUUUUCUCCAGUUUGCCGUCUAAUUUUUAACAUCUGACAUAUGAUAGGAUCUGGACUUAUAGAUAAGUAUAACAACAAAUGGAAAAGAAUAAAUAAUGUUUCAUUUAAUACAUUAAGAAAAUAACCAUACAUAAAUACAAAUUAUUCAUUACAAAUCUAGAGGCUCCCAGGAGCCGAAAUAGCUUGAAUUGACAAAUUGUGCACCUCAAAACGAUAAAAAACACAUAUUUCAAAAGCAAUAAAUUUAAAAUAAGAGGUUAAACAAUUCAGAAUAAGUUCAGACUGUAAAAAUAAGUUUUUCUGACCACUUUUGCAAUUUAUUCUAAUAUUAUAUUGAUAUAGCUGUCAGAUCUUAGCAGAAAACUAUGAAAAUUUGUAAAUUUACACACUUCAGGGACAAUAGCUCAUAGAUGUUACGUCCCCAUUUUUCAGAAAAUUUUUGGGUAGUUAGAUCUUGUCAUUUUGAUAGUUUUUACAAUAUAUAUACAUAUAUGUAUGAUACUUCUUCUAAAGUUAACAAAAUAAUGGUUUAAAAGAGAAAACUGUAAACAGUUGCAAUAUAGAGAUGAUUUUAACAGACACUAAGAGAUGGACUUUUUUAUGGCCCUUUGAGCCUAGUAUGCUAAAAAGGUAAUAUUUGCCAGGUACCUAUAUAUCUAUGUUGCUGCAAUGUGGUCAAUACAAACAUGAAAAUCAUAAAUGCAUCUAAAACUAGAUGUGUGAAAGCGACACGAAUGGCCCCGUCUCAAAAAUUUGAAAAUCUGCAAUUUCAAUAACACAUGUGGACACAAACAUCAUGGUUGUCUCACAUAUCAAAAAUCAGCUCUAAAUCUGGAGGCAUAUAGAAAAAUGUCCAUAUAACUGUGAUUUUCAACAAUUUUCAAAGUUGUAAACCCUUAAUUCUGGCAAAAAUUACACAGUAGAAGGAAACUUAAAUUAGAUCUGUAACUCAUCAUGGUUAGCUCACAUACCAAAAACCAGCCCAAUAUCUGAAAGCAUUUAGAAAAAAGGUCCAUAUAACUGUGAUUUUCAAAAAUUUAUCAAAGUCCAAAGCCCAAAAUUACAGCAAAUAUUAGAGUAGCAGGACGAAACUUAAACUUGAUCUUUAACUCAUCAUGAGUAACUCGCAUACCAAGAAUCAGCCCAAUAUCUGAAAGUGUUUAGAAAAAAAGUGUGUAUAAAUGUGAUUUUCAACAAUUUAUCAAAAUUCCAUAGCCCGUAAUUUCAAUAAAAAUUAGCGGAGCGGAACAAAACUUAAACUUGAUCUGUAACUCAUCAUGGUCAACUUCAUUACCAAAAAGCAGGCCAAUAUCUUAAGGUGUUUAGAAAAAAACUCUGUAUAAUGGUUUGUUUCGGAAUGAUGGAAUUACGGAAUUUCAGAAUUUCG
rnacentral:lncRNA from 1 species